CUUCUCAGCCAUCUCUCCAGCCCACAAUAAAUAAUUUUGAAAAAUGUUUUAUUUUUAGGGCUGGAGAGAUGGCUGAGCAGU
rnacentral:miRNA from 1 species